GUGAAAAAAAAAAUUGUGACUAUAGUAUUAAACAUGUUAUGGAUAAAAGGCGUUAAAAAUUAAAAAAAAAAAACAAUGACUUAAAUAUGUAACUUAAAAGUCGAUAUUCAAAGUAUACGCAACCCUCAUUCCCGAAACAAUGUUUUAUAUACUCGUAUUAUAAUAAUAAAUUAUAAUAAAUAAUAAUUAUAAAACGUUGUCAAGAAGAAUCUUAGUUUGAGCAGUUAGUUUAAUAUAGUCAAGUGUUAUCUUUUUUAUCUCUUUUAUACUUUUUUAUUAAAUCAACAAGUUUUGGGUCGAUGUUUUGCUUUGGGUCGUUGCCCGAUAUGCCCGAAAUGUCUGGCGAAAUAGUUGUAAAUGCUUGAUAAAUCGUGUCUUUUUUUGGUGCUUAAUCAAUUGAGACGGGGUUUGACAUUGGGCGUGUCCCCUAUUUUAUGUAAAAGUUAUGUUUUCAUUUCCGGCAAUCACUUGAAGAGCGCUCUCCUCGGAUUAAUAGUGUAAAUGUGAACUAUGUGGACAAUGAUACAAACAAAUGCACACGUCAAGGCUAUUUUCGUAAUGCAAGGGGUGAAGGAGCGCUAAAUAAUCGAAUUGCGCGAGCUCAGCGACUUCUGACUUACAUCGUGUGCACGAAAUUGGACCACAAUACAC